UUUCAAUAUUAUUUUACUUUAGCAUUAAUUAAAAUAGUUAAUAAUAAAUUAUGUUUCAAAUAUUACUUUUUGUAUUGUUGCCAAAAAAAAUAUAUUACUUUUUGUAUUAGUUUUGAAAAAAUAUUGUAAAAUUUCUAAAACAAUUUAUAUAUUAAAAGUUAAAACAGAUUAUAAUUUUAAUAUCCUUGUUUUUUCAAUAGUCGUCUCUUUAAUCAUUUCCUUUUGCCUUACGUUGGUCUCUGUACGCACAUUCUCUUCCAAUUCUCAACGAGCCCGACAAAGUACAAAGUCACAUAGAUAUUGAAUUAUGCUUAAACUUUUGCAUUAGUAUUUGGAUUAUAGUGAAACCGUGUCUAAUAUUAUCACAUACUUUCUUUUACAGCCGCUAAAAGUUAGUUUGCAAUUUGCAUGAUCCUGUUCUUUUCUAAAAACAUAUACAUUCUUUAGAAAAACAAAUUUCAGUUACCUUUUUACGUUUUACACUAGAUCAGUUCAGUCACUGGUCCAUAUGACCUGGUUUUUUCAUUGAAGUAUUUGAAUAACUAUUUGCAACACGAGUUAACAACUAUACAUAGCACCAGUUAGUUUAUUUGCAUUUUCUUAUUGAAGUGUUCAAUUCUCAUUCUUUAAGAUAGCACCAUGUUGAAAAUAAUUUACUUACUAACAUUGAAGUGCUCAUAAAUUAGUCAUGUCUUCCUUUCAAAUUUGAAAACUGUUGUAUUGGUACUUCAUUUGGGGAAGAAAAAAAAGAACAGAGUAUGUUAAAAAAAGUACUAAUAAUUACUUAUUACAUUAUGAUUUCCGUGUAGAAAAAAAAGAAGAAGAUAGAGCUCCACGGUUGUAUGCCAUUUACUUGGUGAUCUACUGAUUUGAAUUCCCCUUAUAAGAAAAAGGUUCAAGUGGCGUUUUACCCCUAAAUCAAACUUCAUUCGCCAAUUUUCCAUCAUUAGUCGGUUUGGGUUUCCACUUAGUUUUAACUGUUUAAAGUUGUAAAGAUAAAACAUUUUUUUUCAAAUAAUUCAUUUUUACAAGUGAAGCACUUGUCAAAACUUAUUUCAUUUUCCGCAAAACCCAUUUUCUUUUAGUGUUUUGUUCGCCGCAUUACUCACAGAGAAAAAAAAAACAAGUAUCACAAAUCGACUAUAGAUAUAAGAAAAUGAUAUAUGCAUAAGUCAAGGGAAAUGAAAUGGUUAUAUUCUAUAGCACACAUGCGUGAAGCUUGAACUCAAGAGUAUUUGAAUUUAUAAUGCUUUGCUAUUGUGUCUAUUACACCACUAGAUUUCAACUCAUCUUGAUGUACACAUACUAAUUUGCUUAUUAAUAUCCAAUUGCAUUGUUUACAAUGUUGUUCUCUAUACUUUGACUACUGCACUAUAAUAAACUUGUGUUACAACUGCUUACGGAGAACAGCGACAGAUGACAGUGGAAUAAACUAAAUUUGUGUUUCCUAAUGGUACUUAUAUUGAUUAUGUAUUCCAUAAAUUACAGUUACGUGCUAGAUUAUGUCAUACAUGCUAUUCGGUUCAUAUUAUUUUUUUGACUAUCCAAACAUCGUACGUAGCUUUCUCCUAUAUAUUGUAUACGCAUUUUAAUUUGUAGUUUUAUUCAGGCAACGUAUGAUCAUUCGUCUAUACAUAUAUUUUGAGGGGAAGUCUGAUUUUUCAAUACUGGAUGUAGAUUGUAGACUGAGGUAGAGAAAAAACGUCAGAAUGACAUAAGCAUGUGGUGUGAUGUAAAAAGACAAAAAAAAAAAAAAAAAAAAAACUCACACAUGGAAGAAGAUGAACAUGUAAAUUGUACAGUGAGGGUUUGAGAAAGCAAAAAAAAAAAACAUGAGAGAAAAAGACUGUCGCUGAGACAAACCCACACGGCCAUUCUCAUGGCCUUCCAUCAUCCCAUCAUCGACUACUUCUAUUUCCUUAACUUUUUAUUUUUGAUCCGUUGAAUUUUAUAGUAUCUUCCUCUUUUCAGACGGAAAUCAAAUCAGAUUUUCAAUUUCUGAGAGUAAGACUACAUACUCAAAGAUUAUCAGAGUAACAUGUAACAUACACAAAUAUACUAUGCAUUCUAAUGCGUAAUGAUGUUUCUAUCUUUCAAAAGAAAAAUCUUAUUACCAGAUCAUGCAUUUUAUAUAUGAUAAACGAAAUAUUACAUCGACAAAAGAAAAACUCGAAACUAUUAAAUAUAUUGUUUAUAAAAAAUUAUCUAACGAUAAAUAUAUCAUUAUAUGAAUUUGUGUUCCAACCCUAAUCCCCCACGAUCUCUUUCUUUAAAUAAAGGGACCCUUAAAUAAAUAAGUUAACAUUCAUUUUUUGUCGGCAUAAAUUAACAUUCUAAGAAGGGUUCAUGCAUGUUUUCAUAUUAGAAUACAGUAGAUGUUGACAAAAAAAAAAGAAUACAGUAGAUAAUUUCGUAAAGUUAAAAAGUUAAGGGUAACAAGGUAAAGGUAAAUGUUUAUAUAGUCCAAAACGAUCAUCAUCAUUACGCCAAUGACCAAAGGAUAUAAUUGAUUAGAUCUCGACCGUCAUAAUUUUUUGGUUUGUAAAAUAUUUGUGUACACACACACUAAUGCUCUCAACUUUUCUUGUCGCCUCGGUUUGACGUUCAUCUCACAAUUCGUCCUUUUAAGUCAACCUCUGAGUGAUUUAAUUGUUUCCACGUUCUGUGUGUUUGCUUCAGUAUUUUAUUCCUUUGACUUAGGUUUAUCCUUUAAUUGUAGGGGUAUAUAUUUGCAGGAUGUUUCUAGUUGUGCCAAAAAUUAUAUGCAUUCAUAAAAUAGAUAAUAUCACUACAAAAAAAGGUAGUUUUACAUUAUUUAUUUUGAAUAUGUGCAUUAGUUAUAAAUGAUGUAAAAGAAUUUUAUAUCACUUAAAAAAGUGAUUCUGAAAACAGAUGCAAAUAAUUUAGAUCAAUUUGUUUUUUUAUCAAAACUGAAAUAUUAAAUUCAGUGAGAUGCAUGGUGCAAAAUGAUGUAUUAUUCCAAGUAAAACAUUAGAUAAGCAUCACAUUUGAAGUGACGGGUCUUCAUAUAUUUUCCACUAUCAUCAACUAUUUUUACAUAUAUGAUUAACUGCGUUAUAAAUAUAUACGUACAUGUAGACAAAAAGGUCUUAUAUAGUUAAUUUUUUUUUUCAAAUUGAGACGAGAUUAGUAAAAAUGGUAUAGGUAGAGCCUGGGUAGAUAUUUUCGAGACGAAGAAGCGAAGUUGUACCCUUCAUAUUGACGUCAACGGUUAUAUGCAUCUAAACUAUUAGAACUGAAGUACAAAUAAAUCUUAAUCCUUAGUUUUCCACAAAUAUUACAUACCUAUGCCACCACCUUAUAAAUAUCAACUUCUAUAAAAAUUGUUAAGAAAUUGUCUAAUAUUUAGCUACCUAAUAACUUUAGAAGAUAUGCAAUCAUUCAUUUAUUUAAAAAAUCAAAAAGUUAAUUUUGCAAUCUAUAAAAACUAUAAAAUAGUCAGAUUAAUUUAUUGGUUUAUUAAAAAUUAAAUUGAUCAACAUGGUUUAAAUUUUUCAGAAUAAUAAAACUAACUAAGUUAUAUUUAAUUAAUUAGUAUCUUCUAAUUUAAUUAGUACAAUAAUGUAUGUAUUUAAUUUUUAAACGUUUACAAAAAUUAAAAAUAAAUAUCCGUGCAGAGGCACGGGUCAAGAUCUAGUUAGUUAAUUAAUUAUUAAAUCAAUGAAAACUCACAUAUUUGCUUUCACCAAUUUCAGUUUCUCCUCUCCGUGAUUUCGCAACAUAUAAAGAGAAAUAUUUAGGUUUACCUCCUAGGUAAACUAUUAAAUUCACCCCACUUUUAAUAUCUAAUCAAAGUACCACAUAGAUUAAUAAAUUAAAAAUAUCAAAUUAAAAUAAAAUAGCUAAAAAAAUAACGUCAAUUUUAACGAUGCUAACGAAGUUAACACCGCUAGCUAAACCCUAAAUCAUAAAAUCUAAAUCUAAACUCAAAUUCUACAUCUUAAACCCAAACUUUAGACCCUAAACCAUAACUCAAACUUCAGACUCUAAUCCAAACUCUAUUCCCUAAACCCCAAGCCCUAUACCCUAAACCCAAACCAUAAAAUCUAAACUCUAAAUCCUAAAUCCAAGCCCUAGAUCCUAAACCCAAAAGCUAGACUCUAAACCCAAACUUUAAACCUUAAAGGAACAACAUCAACAUCAGCUCAAACUUUUAGGAUAUAGAGUUUGGGUUUUGUUUAGAGUUUACAGUUUGGAUUUAGGGUCUAGGGUUUGGGUUUAGAAUUUAUGAUAUAGAGUUUGGGUUUAGGGUUUGGAUUUUGGGGUCCAGAGUUUGGAUUUAGAAUUUAGACUUAGAAUUUAAGAUUUAGAAUUUAUGAUUUAGAAUUUAGGGUUUAGCUAACAGCAUUAGCAUCGUUAAAAUUACCGUAAUUUUUUCAGUUUUUUUUUAAUUUUUAAUUUUUGAUUUACUAAUUUAUGUGGCAUUUUGAUUGGUUAUCCGAGGAGAAAUGAAUUUAAAUAUUCACCUAGGAGAUGAACUUAAGUAUUUUUCAUAUAUAAAUAUAUUAUUAUAUAACAAUGGAUAUGCACAUAAUAAUCCACAUAGGCCAUAAUCAGUUAGCCAUACAUCGAUCUUUUUUAUAAUACCAAAAAGAACGUCUUAUACAUGCCUUGUAAAAGAAGUAAAAGUAUGUUUUGGAGGAUGCUUCUGCAAAUGUAGAAUCAUCAAUUUGCAUAGAUAUUAUGGUAUAUUUGAAAAAAAACAUAGUAACAAAAUCUUCAGUAACAUAGAUAUAGAUCCGACGGAUACUUUAAAGUUGGUAGAAACAAAGUCUUUACUUUGGACAGAGGCUCAGUCCUCAGUUACAUAGAGGAUGGUCAAAAAUUCGGCGAUAGAAAACACACCUUUACCGAUCAUAUUAGGAAGAUAGUGUUUUACAGAUGGUCAUGGAAUGAUCAUAAAUAUUAUUCCAGGACCAAGAUGGUAUAACACGUUAGAAGGUUUUGACGAGGAGCUUAUGAAGAUUCUUAAAAAUAAAAAAUGCGGCAGUCGUUAAUUCCACGUAAGUAGAAAUCAUCGUAAAGACCUCGUAAUAAAAAAUGCGGGCCUCGUUCAUUCCUCGUGAAAAUAAAGUGGGCCUCGCUAAUUCUUCGUAAAUUAACGAUGAUGUUACGAGAAAACGAAACGGGAAUAAAUUGGUUAGCCGUGAUUAAAGUUACACCUCGUAGACAAAUCAUCAGUGGAGAAGAACCACCAUUGCAAGAAGAACAGAUAGAUGAAGUCGAGGUACCUGAACAACAAAUUGAUGACAUCCUUCUCAUUGAUCCGCAUAAUCAUGAAUACGAAGAUCUUACCGACGAUGCCACAGACGAAACUGUUGAAGACGAGUUUAAUGAAAAUGAUGAUGUUUCUAGUGAUGACGAGAAUGUCGAUGUAUCCGAUUGAUGUAUAUGUGUUUUAAUAUGAUUGAUUUUCAGACUUAAUGCAUGUGAUUUUAUGGAUUUAAUCAUGGAAAUCUAUAUAUAUAAUUUGAUUUUGUGUAAUGGGGUUUGAAUUAGAAAGAAGAGAUUGAGAUUAUUAGUUAAGGAAUUGUGGUUUUAGAAUUUGGGGUUUGGAAUGGAUAGAAGAGAUUGAGGUUAAAAGGAGGAUGGGGUUGGUUUGGAAUAUAUGAAGUAGAAGAUAAGGAAGAUGUGGUUUGGGGUUUCAGAUUUCAGGGAUUUAAACAUAAACGUAGUUAUUUCCUCGUAAAUUAGCAAGGAGCUUACGACGAUUCUUAAAAAUAAAGAAUGUGACAGUCGAUAAUUCCACGUAAGCAGAAAUCUUUGUAAAGACCUCGUAAUAAAAAAAUGCAGGUCUCGUUCAUUCCUCAUAAAAAUAAAAGCGGGCCUAGCUAAUUCUUCGUAAAUUAACGACGAUGUUACGAGGAAACAAAACGGGAAAAAUUGGUUAGCCGUGAUCAAAGUUACACCUCGUGGACGAAUCAUCAGUGGAGAAGAACCACCGUUGCAAGAAGAACAAAUAGAUGAAGUCGAUGUACCUGAACAACAAAUUGAUGACAUCCUUCUCAUUGAUCCGCAUAAUCAUGAGUACGAAGAUCUUACCGACAAUGCCACGGACGAAGCUGUUGAAGACGAGUUUAAUGAAAAUUAUGAUGUUUCUAGUGAUGACGAGAAUGUCGAUGUAUCCGAUUGAUGUAUUUGUGUUUUAAUAUGAUUGAUUUUCAGACUUAAUGCAUGUCAUUUGAUGGAUUUAAUCAUGGAAAUCUAUUUAUAUAAUUUGAUUUUUGUGUAAUGGGGUUUGAAUUAGAAAGAAGAGAUUGAGAUUAUUAGUUAAUGAAUUGUGGUUUUAGAAUUUGGGGUUUGGAAUGGAUAGAAGUAAUUGAGGUUAAAGGGAGGAUGGGGUUGGGGCUUGGAAUAUAUGAAGUAGAAGAUAAGGAAGAUAAGUAAGAUGGAGUUUGGGGUUUCGGAUUUCAGGGAUUUAAACAUAAACGUAGUUAUUUCCUCGUAAAUUAACGAGGAUCUUACGACAAUUCUUUAAAAUAAAGAACGUGGCAAUCGUUAAUUCCACGUAACCAGAAAUCAUCGUAAAGACCUCGUAAUAAAAAAACACGGGCCUCGUUCAUUCCUCGUAAAAAUAAAGGGUAAUUCCACCCAGUAGACACAAAAAAACAAAAUUCACUAACUAACUAAAAACACCCCUUCUCUCCUACUUUCUCUUCAUAUCUCUCUCUACUCUCUCUCUAAAAAUUUAAUUUCACUUUUUUUUGGUUAUUUAGCAAAUAAGCCCAAAAAUAAAAGUGGGCCGCGCUAAUUCCUCGUAAAUUAACAACGAUGUUACGAAUAAACGAAACACGGGUCUCGCUAAUUCCUCGUAAAUAAAAACACGGACCUCGCGAGUUCCUCGUAACUUUACGAGGAAUUUACGACGUUUCAUAAUUUUCUAUAUAUACAUGUGAGUUCUCACUUCCCAUUUCGUCUCAACUUCCUCUCCCUUCAGUAGCUAUGGUGCGCUUUCUGUUUUCUCUCUAAUUUGAUUAGUUUAGGUAGAUUAGGUGGUUAAUGUAGGGAAUUUAAUAGUUUUACGGAUUUUAUGUUAAUUUGUGUUGAUUAGGUGGUUAAUGUAGGGAAUUUAGUUAGAUUUAUAGAAUUGGUUAAUUAUAGAAUUUGUUAAUUAUAGAAUUUGUUAAUUACUGUUGAUGUUAAUUUUAGGCGAGUCAUCAUCCGACACACACACCGACGCGGUUGUAGAGAGGAGGAAUUAGGAAUUCUGCCGGGCGAUGAACGACCCUUAGUUUUUUUCAUUGGUUGUAUUAUAAAUUCAAAAAUUAUUUAUGUAUAAAAUAUUUUUGUAUUCAAUUUUCUUUUUAAAUUAGAUUUUUAUUAAAUAAUUAAAUAAAUUUUAUUAUUUUUUUAAAUUUGGAAAAUAUUAAGUCGAAGUAAAUUUGUAGCUAAAUUACGACAACCUUACGUGGAAAUUUUACGAGGAAUUAACGAGUAAAAGAUUUACGUCAACACUACGAGGAAAGAUUAACGAGUACUUGAUGUGGAAACAUUUACGUGUUAUUUACGAGGAAAUGUUUUCGAGGUAUUUACGAGGAAAUGUAGCGUCCCCCUUAUGUGGAAGGGUUACGUGGUUUUUACGAUGAAUACUUUGCUUCGUCUUUACGAGGAAAUGUUUUCUCGCCGACGAAUUAGCGAGGAAAUAUGUGUUACGACGAAUGAAUAACGACGAAACGUGUUUCCUCGCUAAUUCCUCGUAAAGCUGAUUUUAUGACGAAUUUACUACGAAUUCCGCUGUCAUUAAUGUUGUGUUUUCUUGUAGUGAUUAUAUUAUAUUUAUGUAUCAUAGAAUAGAAUUGUUUCAAAACAUUCAAUAUAUCUCCCUCUCUUCCUUCCUCCCUCCUUCAAAGAAAUUGCAUUCUUUAUACACCACUUUCUUCAUAAUUAGGUAAAUACAUGGAUGUACUGUGUUGAACUGUUUAACUUAGGACGCAUCUGCUCCUAUCUUUAAUCAUAUAUGUCUAUGGAAACCGAAGAGAUAAAGAGUUUUUUUUGGCUAGUAUACCAACAUUGUGCGGCCCAAAGAAACAUUGUUCAAGACAGAUUGUUAAUUUCAUCAUAGUUUUAGAAUUUUUGCCCAAUUGACUUUUUUUCCUAUAUAUCCACAUAUUAUACUAUAUGGCCACAAAUUAUAGAAGAGUUACUAACACUCAAAGACAAUUUUGAUGUUUUUAUUACAAUAAAAGACAGUUUGAGCUACUGAGGUACUUUCUUAUAACUAAAACCAAAUAAUUGGUAACUAAGUUAAUGUAUGUGACUAAGAAGAUCCCACAAUUAACAACUUGCAUUAUUUCUCUUUCCUUUCUAUCUAAUCAUUACCAUGUUUUUUUUUCCUUUGGAGAAAUAUGUUCGACUUUUUCAUUUUUUCCUUGUAACAUACAUUAUUUUUUGCAAAUCAUUACUUUUCACUAUCAUAUUUUUUUCUUUUAUUUUAUGUAUCACUAAUUUACUUUUUUUUUUAUGCAGUAUCUAUAGAUCCAAAAAGUCAAUACGUAGAAGAGGCAAAAGGAUUUAGAACCUCCGUAGAGUGAUUUCUUCAACUCAAAACCGAAUAUUCCGGUUGCCUCCUGUAACCGGCUCUCUCUCUCCGCCUCCGUCGACUGAAACGUCUACCUCCAUCUCGUCUAUGUCUCCUCGUUGCCUCUUUCUCGUCGCCACCUCUUCCUCGUCGCCGCCUCUUUCUCGUCGCCAUUGUUGCAAAAGCUUGAUGGGCAACAAUGGCCAGUUUUAGCUUUAUUGCACAUUUGGUCCCUAGAAAUUUAAAUAUAUUCAUUUCUGAUCUAAAAGUUUUUGAUUUGCAAAUAUACCCUUUUAAAUUGAUAUCAAAUUUUUUAAUUGUGCAGACCAUACCUUCCAUAAUUACAGGAACGGAUAUGUUUAUGUUUUUCGUGUACAUUGGUACAUGAUGGUAUGUAUACAAUGCUUAAAAAACAAAAUCUACCACUAUAUUUAUACAAGUUUCAACUAUUGUACACUACCAUAUACGUUGUACACAUGUACAUCAUCAACUUUUAAUGUACACAUGUACACUAACGAAUGUACAGAACUUUACAACAUAUUGGACAUCUAACAUAAAUCUCAAACAUAUGUAUACAUGUACACGAGUACAUAAUGUCAACGUACAUAUGUACAUGUGAAAGAGAGAAUUUUGUCUUUGUAAGUGUAAGGAUAAGGAAGUGUGGUUUACGUGAAUGGAAAGAGUUCUCAUUUUUUGAGUGAAGCUUAGUUUAGGUCUUGAUACCAUAUGUGUUGAUAUUAUAUUUCCUACCUUUUCUAUGUAACAUGUGUACAAGUAUUUUUGUAUACAUAUGUACAAUAUUAUAUAUUAUUUGUAUACACAUAAUCAUAAUCGUGGAUGUGUACAUAAUGUUAGUGUACACAUGUUUGUGUACACGAGUACAUUAGAUGACUACGUGGAUGUGUACAUAAUGUUAGCUUUAUGUCAUAACUCAUAACGUAAUUAUAUGAAAUAACACUGAUUAUAUGACAAAAUAACACUGAUUAUAUCACAGGAGCUAAAAUAAAAUUUGAAAUUUUGAGGACGAAAUUGAAGAGCAAUCUACACAUUUAAAAAGUGAGGUCAAAAUCAAAAUGAAACAAAAGUUGAGGGACUAUACAUGCAAAAAUGCCAAAAAUGCCAAAAUGAUGCAAUAGUUGAGAUAUACAUCACCGUUACAGUACCAUCAAAAAUAUAUCUUGAUAUAUCUCAAAAGAUAGACAAAAUAAUGUGAAUAAUAAAUAAAUAUUAUUUUUUUGGAAAAUAUAAACUGAAAGAGAAAAUUUUAUUUUAUAAAGAAGAUGCAAAGCUUAGGAGGGAGAAGAUUAUGAUAAAGGAGUAUAUGAAUCUAUUUUAUUGUGGUUGUGGUCAAAUCCCGUCAAAAAAAAUAUAUAUUAAAUAUAAUAUCUUUAACUACAAAUUCAUUUAGUUAGUUUUUUAGGUGAAAAGUGAAUUUGGUUAGCAAUAACUAUCCUAAUAGCAUAAACUGCUCUAGUAAUAUAAACUUGAAAACUGCCAAUGUAAUUGUUUCAUUAUAGAAUGAUAAUUUUUUUAUAUUAUUUGUACUACAUCAAUAAUUUUGUUCUUUCACAUUCUAUAUUAUACACUUAAACAUCUACGAAUAAAUAUUCUCUUUCAUAUUAGACAUUGCUUAAAUGACUUUGAACUCUACAAAUAAACAAUACUAAUAUAACUAAUUUUAUUUUAUAGUUGUAUUUAUAUUUGAAACAGACUAUUCUAUAUCGUUUGUAUAAGUAGAAUGGUAUUUGGUUAUUGUGUUUGUAAUGCAAACGCUCACGCGCUUCUGAAAGAGUAAAAUAUGGAGUAUAUUGAUGUGCUAAAUUGACACACAUUCCAAGAUAUGGUUAUUUUGUUAAUUUCUUUGCUACUAUGGUCAUCUCACGAAUUCAACCUAUUAUUUACAUACUAUACUACUAAUAUUCUAAUAAGUAAUAUAAGCCGCCCAGAAGCACUAAGACGCAACACGCAAGCAGAAUAAGAAGAGUUGAAGGAAUUAAAAACAGCUAAGACUUCCACUUGGGCAGAUCGAAUGGAUGUGUUGUCCGUCUUAAUAUGUCUUCUAAAAGUCAUAACGUGACAAAACCCCUUUUCUAAUAUAAUAUUAAUAUCUUAAUUCUUUCAACUACCUUAUGAUAUUGAAUAUAUUAGUUAAUUAAUCAUAAUCUCCGCACUUAAUUCGUCGAUUGCUUCAUUAUUAUUUUUUAUUUAUUCUCCGCCGUACUUGCUUAUUCUAGUAGCAUAUCUUACCCUUCACAAAUGUUAUGAUUAAUUGAUUAUUACAUUAUUUUAUAUUUUAAACCUAUAUGUGAUAUUAAAUAUUAUGUAAAAGCUACAUUAAGGUCAGUUAGUGGUAGAGUUAAUAUCCAUAUUGAUGACUUCUACCUUCGGAUAAUUCAAGUUUUGAUUUGUUGGUAGAUAUGUUAAAAAAUGUGUGUUUCUCUUGGAAUUUUCAUGAUUAAUAGUCUUUGUUUAAAGGAAAACGUAACAGUCUAAGACUAAUAUAAUCUAUUCCUAUUACUACAAGAAAACAAACCCCAACCUCGUUAUUCCUUAAUUUAUUAUGUAAGUCUAACCUAACCCUAAUUAGUAAUUUAACAUUUUUACCAAAAUAACCCUAAUUCAUACUAUGUGACUAUCCUCGGCUUAGCCAUUGUUUAAAAGUUUUCUGAUUUCACUUUUGUUUUUAAUAAUUUCGAGAAUGUUAAAACGUUAUAUAGUUAAAAUUUUAAUAUAUCAUAACUGCGAUAUUGUCCUAGUGGUUAUAAAAACUAAUUGAUAAUAGGAUUUUUUUAGUUAAGCGUACCUCUGAACAGAAGUAUGAACUUACAUAUCAGUUUCGGAAAAAAAAGUAUGAACUUACAUACUUAUAUUCGUUUAAGUAACAUCUUAAUUUGUUAUUUAAAUAUAUCCUGAAAAUAAUUACUUAAGUGGAAAGAUUAAUAAUCGAGUUGAUAAUUUAUCAAUACACCUAAUGUAUUCAUCGUCACCAACUUUCCCACCCGUCCUAGCCCCACGGAGAUGUAGACCAAAUCAUAAUCCUUCUUUCUAGAGGUCAUUAACGAUUUCUGUUUUUAAAUUAGUAUAAUAGGGGUUGACAUAUAUACAAAAACAUGUUCACCCCUCCUAAUAACAUCUUAUCUGAUUGUGACUCUCUCUGAUAAUACGUAUGAAAUCAAAAUACCAGUUCAGAUUUUUAAUUGUGUGUGUAAUAUACAAAGUAAAUGCUAUCCAUGAUGUAUUUUUAUGGGAAUUUCAUUUGACAUAACAUUCAUAUAUUUAACUUUUUAUUUUUUAAUUUAUCGUUUAAAAAAAAUCUUAAAAUAUUAUUUUUCAUAAAUAAAAUAAAAGAGAAAUUAUAAGUUAAACGAGACUGUCAGAUUAUGUUUUGUAACAAAUUAAAGUGGUUGUAUCCCCUGAUUACUCGUGUAAAGUUAAAUCAGUUAUCAAUACAUUUGAUAAAAAACUUAUUUGAUAAUUUGGUGGUUUUGAUUGGUGACCACCGUUAGAUGAAUGAAAAAGAUAAACAGAAUGAAAAAUAAAUUUUCAUUUGAGAAACUGAAAAGAAAAGUUUGUUUAUUUUGUUCAUCAUUAGGAUUGCAGACGAAUUUUUGCUUUUAUAUUUAUUUUUCCAUAAAAAAUUUAGAGAAAAAAUGGGAUCCACAUAUUAAUAAUUUGACCAAAAUUUUAACCUAAUUAAUAUAAAUUUUGAGGAACAAAGAAUUUACCAUAAUUUUUUCAUUUCAACAUAAUCACCAAUUGAAGCAGUAUUUUAGUUGCAGUGACUCGUAAAUUAAUGAGGUUGAGUUACUUCUCAGAAAUAUCGGGUAAAAAUAUGUAAAUGGAUAUUUGUGGAAAAAUGAAAACUUUAAGUGGUCUUUAAAAAACAUUAAAGUAUGACAGGAACUUACAAGUCAACAAAGAAAUAAAUAUGUAAUAUCAUAUCCUUAAGAAUAGGAGUAGACAUAUUAAUUUACUUAUUUUUUUCCCUAGUGCUUUCAAAUUUGUUUUUUUUUUCGAAUAAUUCAUCUUAUCAAUAAAACAACAAUAUAAGAUUGACAACAAACCAAAAAAAAACGAAAAGGUUUACAACAAAA